ACUCAAGCUUCCAUCUCUUCUUCGUCGCUCCUCGCUACGGCCGUGAAGCGAAUCAAGCUAAUCAAAUUUGGCCGAAUCGACGACGUUCUAUCUGUGCUUCAAUUCUAUAUACUACUCAAAACUUGGGAUAAACCCCAAUUCAGCAAUUCUCCAACUCAAACUCACCGUUUCAAGCCAUGGCGAAGCGCCUAAACGACGCCGUACACAAACUCCAACUCUCGUUACUCGAUGGAGUCUCCACAGAGCAUCAGCUCUACACCGCCGGUUCGCUCCUUUCCAAGAGCGACUACAAUGACGUCGUAACGGAACGAACCAUCGCGAACCUUUGCGGCUACCCUCUCUGCUCGAACCCUCUGCCGCCGUCGGAUUCUCGACAACACAAAGGGCGGUACCGUAUCUCGCUGAAGGAGCACAAAGUGUACGAUCUCCAGGAGGUGUACUUGUUCUGCUCCACGAGUUGUCUGGUGAAUAGCAAGGCGUUUUGGGGGGGUUUGGGGGAGGAGAGGGUUAGGGUUGUGGAUGAGAGGAGGAUUGAAGAGGUUUUGAAGGUUGUCGGCGCGGAGAGUAGUGUGGAGAGUGAGAUGGUCAGGAGGUUUGGGGAGUUGGAGAUCAGAGAGAAGGAGAGGGGGGAAGGGGUGGUUGGGGAAGUUGGAGCUGGCUCUUCGGAUGCCAUUGAAGGGUUUGUUCCGAAGGCUAAAUAUAAGGUGAAGACGCAGUUGAAGGGUGAGAAGAAAGAAGGUGAGGAUAAGGUGAAGAGCAAGUCUUCUGUUGAGAAAAACAAAGGGGUUAACGCUAAGACUAAUCAGCAGACUAGUAAAAAGGAUACAAUUUUUAGUGAUAUGAAUUUCAUGAGUACCAUAAUCAUGAAUGAUGAAUAUAGCAUUUCGAAAGUACCUUCUGGUUCAACUGGUAUGACAUCCAAAUUGAAGUAUGAAGAUUUAAAAACAACAGAGGGUAGUAAAAACUUGGAGGCUCAAUGUGCCACAUUGGGAUCUUUACAUUCCAGAAAAGAAGGUUCUGAUACAAUUAUGACGAAAUCAAGUGAGAAGAGUCAAAUUGCAAAAAACGAGCUUGGUGUUCAAGAUGUGCCUUCCACUUCAGCUCCUUUCCAGAGUGGUUCUAGGAUGACUUCUCUUGAACAAGAAAAUGGCUAUCCUGCAGAGAAAGAACCUAUAUUACGUGCAGGAAUGCCCAAAUCAUCUCUUAAAUCUUCAAGUUCAAAGAAACUUGGCCACUCUGUCAGUUGGGCUGAUGAGAAAAAUGAUAGUUUAGGCAGUGGAAACCUUUGUGAAUUUAGAGAAGAAAUGGGUGAUGGUGAUAAUGAUACAUUGCGCUUUGCAUCAGCUGAAGCCUGUGCAAUGGCAUUGAGCCAGGCAGCUGAAGUUGUGGCUACUGGAGAUUCUGAUGCUGCUGAUGCCGUGUCCGAAGCUGGAAUUAUUAUAUUACCACGUCCAGAUGAUGUAGUUGGAGAGAAACAGGUGGAGGAUGCUAAUUUGCUUGAACCCAAAGAAGCUCCUUUAAAAUGGCCCAGUAAGCCUGGGAUUCAACGAUCUGAAUUCUUUGACCCUGAGGAUUCGUGGUAUGAUACUCCACCUGAGGGUUUCAGUUUAAGUUUGUCGCCUUUUGCAACAAUGUGGAUGGCAAUCGUUGCAUGGAUAACAUCAUCUUCUUUGGCUUAUAUUUAUGGGAGGGAUGAAAGUUUCCAUGAAGAGUAUCUAUCAGUUAAUGGAAGGGAGUAUCCUCGAAAGAUUGUUUUGGGAGACAGUCGCUCUUCUGAAAUCAAGCAAACUCUUGCUGCUUGUCUGUCUCGGGCUUUACCUGGACUUGUUGCUGAUCUCAGGCUGCCGAUACCAAUAUCUGUUAUUGAAAAGGAAGUGGGGCUUUUGUUGGAAACAAUGUCUUUUGUUGAGGCACUUCCAGCAUUCAGAGCGAAACAAUGGCAAGUGAUUUCUCUUCUCUUCAUUGAUGCUCUUUCCGUCUAUCGGAUUCCUACUCUUACACCACACAUGACUAAUCGGACAAUGCUGCUUCGCAAGGUGUUGGACGGUGCUAAAAUAACUUUGGAAGAGUAUGAGGUUAUGAAGGAUUUUAUAAUACCCCUUGGUCGAGCACCUCAUUUUUCAACGCAGAGUGGGGCUUAAUGUAUGAUAUAAUAGGAAUAGUAUGAGGUUAUGAAGGAUUUCAUAAGACCCCUUGGUUGAGCUCAUUUUCGGCACGGAGUGGGGCUUAAUGUAUGAUAUAAAGUAUUUUAUUCAAUCAUGCCGCAAAGAAUUGUGAUUAUGUACAUAAUACUGAAUUUUACAACUCUAUUCUCUGAGUGUUUGACGAACUGUAUCCAUUGCUAUGCAUAUUCUCUGCAUUUGAAGACUUGAAAGAAAUUGUAUAUACCUGUGAACGUAUUCUUUUCAGAAGACGAUUGCAAUCCUAAACUAAAUGCGACCGCAUUCUAAGGUAAUUAUUUUUGCUGAUUGAUUUAUUUUAACUCAAGUUUGUGUUUUGUGUAAAACUGUAAUGAAUAAAAUGGAUUUGGUAAAAUAAUCGGAUCGAGAAUGCAUGGUAUCCUUUAUAUUGUUAUCUCCUUAU